UACGGGGGGGCAAGCGUUGUUCGGAAUUACUGGGCGUAAAGGGCUCGUAGGUGGCCAACUAAGUCAGACGUGAAAUCCCUCAGCUUAACUGGGGAACUGCGUCUGAUACUGGAUGGCUUGAGUUUGGGAGAGGGAUGCGGAAUUCCGAGGUGUAGCGGUGAAAUGCGUAGAUAUCUGGAGGAACACCGGUGGCGAAGGCGGCAUCCUGGACCAACACUGACACUGAGGAGCGAAAGCCAGGGGAGCAAACGGGG
rnacentral:rRNA from 1 species